UGGGGAAUAUUGGACAAUGGGCGCAAGCCUGAUCCAGCCAUGCCGCGUGAGUGAUGGAGGCCUUAGGGUUGUAAAGCUCUUUUACCAGGGAAGAUAAUGACGGUACCUGGAGAAUAAGCCCCGGCUAACUUCGUGCCAGCAGCCGCGGUAAUACGAAGGGGGCUAGCGUUGCUCGGAAUCACUGGGCGUAAAGCGCACGUAGGUGGGUCGUUAAGUCAGGGGUGAAAUCCCGGAGCUCAACUCCGGAACUGCCUUUGAUACUGGCGACCUUGGAGUCCGGGAGAGGUGAGUGGAACUGCGAGUGUAGAGGUGAAAUUCGUAGAUAUUCGCAAGAACACCAGUGGCGAAGGCGGCUCACUGGCCCGGUACUGACACUGAGGUGCGAAAGCGUGGGGAGCAAACA
rnacentral:rRNA from 1 species